rnacentral:lncRNA from 1 species
UGGGAAUAAGCAACGGAGUAGCAGCGGCAGCGACGAAGGUGGGGCUGGUAGAUGCAUUAGUCUCAACAGCAGGCGCGGCGGUGGCGGGAUAUAGCAACGGAGUAGCAGCGGCAGCGACGAAGGUGGGGCUGGGAGAUGCAUUAGUCUCAACAGCAGGCGCGGCGGCGGUGGGAAUAAGCAACGGAGUAGCAGCGGCAGCGACGAAGGUGGGGCUGGUAGAUGCAUUAGUCUCAACAGCAGGCGCGGCGGCGGCGGGAAAUAGCAACGGAGUAGCAGCGGCAGCGACGAAGGUGGGGCUGGGAGGUGCAUUAGUCUAAAC